CACCCUUUAAAUUGAGGGGGAGGAACUCAACAGCUGAUUCACCUGUGAACAGUUGUGCUGAUGUCUGCCACUGUGAUGGCAGCAAGAGGUGGACGGUGGCUGGCCACUGUGGCUGACGGGGCCGAGUCCUUGAGGAGAUCAUGUGUCUGUGGAAAGUACAGGACAGGCGCUGAUGUUUGAGCUUUCAAACCAGUGUCCCUGUUGUUGCCCCCUUCGCUCCAUCUCCGCCGCGGCUCAUUCCCAAUGUCUCUAUGACAGAGGGCGGCCUGUUUGGCUUGGCACAUACAAUCAUACAUGACUUUGCAUUGCUGGAGUGCCUUGCAUUAUAUACAGGGAAAGGGAUAAUAAAUAAAAACCAUAAUGUAA